rnacentral:misc_RNA from 1 species
AACGCACGAGACCUGCGGACCUGCGGAAGGAUCAUUACCGAGUUAUACAACUCCCAAACCCACUGUGAACCUUACCUCAGUUGCCUCGGCGGGAACGCCCCGGCCGCCUGCCCCCGCGCCGGCGCCGGACCCAGGCGCCCGCCGCAGGGACCCCAAACUCUCUUGCAUUACGCCCAGCGGGCGGAAUUUCUUCUCUGAGUUGCACAAGCAAAAACAAAUGAAUCAAAACUUUUAACAAUG